AAGUCGUAACAAGGUUUCCGUAGGUGAACCUGCGGAAGGAUCAUUAUCGAGGAAGGGGCCUUCGCGCUCCCGGGGUUUCGGCCCCCAACUCUUCACCCAUUGUCAACUUCACCCUUGUUGCUUUGGCGGAUUCCGGGUAUCGUCUUGCGAUGAGGUUUCGAAUCCAUUAAACCCGUGCGAGAUGUGCCCCGGCAGCCCAGCCCAGGUAAGGCCCAUUUAAAAUCAUGUUUAGCAGUGAUGUCCGAGUAAAAAAACCAAUAAUAAAAA
rnacentral:misc_RNA from 1 species